UGCAAAGGUAGCAUAAUCGUUAGUUUUUUAAUUGGAAUCUUGUAUGAAUGGUUGGACAAAAGAAAAUCUGUCUUUAUAUUGUUUAUUGAAUUUAACUUUUAAGUGAAAAGGCUUAAAUAAAUUAAAGGGACGAUAAGACCCUAUAAAGCUUAAUAUUAAUAUUUUACUUGGUUAAAUUUUCUUGUUUAUAAAAACUUAGUAAUUGAAUUUAUUUUAUUGGGGCGAUAAAUGUAAAAUGGCUACUAACUGCUUAGUUUUUUAUACAUCUAUAAAUGAAUUAGAAAAUAAAUGAUCCUUAAUAUAAAGAUUAAAAGUUUAAGUUACUUUAGGGAUAACAGCGUUAUCUUUCUUAAGAGUACAUAUCGAAAGAAAAUUUUGCGACCUCGAUGUUGAAUUAAAAUACCUUUAUAAUUGCAGCAGUUAUAUAAGUAGGUCUGUUCGACCUUUAAAAUUUUACAUGAUU
rnacentral:rRNA from 1 species